GUAGGUGCAAGCGUUGUCCGGAAUUAUUGGGCGUAAAGCGCGCGCAGGCGGUUCUUUAAGUCUGGUGUGAAAGCCCACGGCUCAACCGUGGAGGGUCAUUGGAAACUGGAGAACUUGAGUACAGAAGAGGAAAGCGGAAUUCCACGUGUAGCGGUGAAAUGCGUAGAGAUGUGGAGGAACACCAGUGGCGAAGGCGGCUUUCUGGUCUGUAACUGACGCUGAGGCGCGAAAGCGUGGGGAGCAAACAGGGAUUAGAUACCCUGGUAGUCCACGCCGUAAACGAUGAGUGCUAAGUGUUAGGGGGUUUCCGCCCCCUUAGUGCUGCAGCUAACGCAUUAAGCACUCCGCCUGGGGAGUACGGCCGCAAGGCUG
rnacentral:rRNA from 1 species